GCCGGGCGUUGUAGCUCUCGCCUGUAGUCCCAGCUACUCCGGAGGCUGAGGUGGGAGAAUCGCUGGAACCUGGGAGCUGAGGCUGCAGUGAGCCGAGAUCAGGCCACUGCACUCCAGCCUAGGCAACAGAGUGAGAUCCUAUCUCAA
rfam:Homo sapiens chromosome 4, GRCh38 reference primary assembly.